rnacentral:misc_RNA from 1 species
AAGUCGUAACAAGGUUUCCGUAGGUGAACCUGCGGAAGGAUCAUUAAAAGUGAUUGGUUUAUACAUUUCAUGUAUCAAGCAUUAACCCAUUCCGAGUACCUUUGCUGUUUGCUUCCAUUGGGGGCCUGACCCUAGGGUACUCUUGUGAUGUGAAACCCAAGAGAGUCCCCAUGGGAGGUAAUCUUAAAUUCAUGUAUCCAAUGUCUUCGUCUGAACUGUUUAUAACAAUGUUAAAAU